rnacentral:rRNA from 1 species
GACGAACGCUGGCGGCGUGCCUAAUACAUGCAAGUAGAACGCACAGUUUAUACCGUAGCUUGCUACACCAUAAACUGUGAGUUGCGAACGGGUGAGUAACGCGUAGGUAACCUGCCUGGUAGCGGGGGAUAACUAUUGGAAACGAUAGCUAAUACCGCAUAAUAUUGAUUAUUGCAUGAUAAUUGAUUGAAAGAUGCUAUUGCAUCACUACCAGAUGGACCUGCGUUGUACUAGCUAGUAGGUGAGGUAACGGCUCACCUAGGCGACGAUACAUAGCCGACCUGAGAGGGUGAUCGGCCACACUGGGACUGAGACACGGCCCAGACUCCUACGGGAGGCAGCAGUAGGGAAUCUUCGGCAAUGGACGAAAGUCUGACCGAGCAACGCCGCGUGAGUGAAGAAGGUUUUCGGAUCGUAAAGCUCUGUUGUAAGAGAAGAACGGGUGUGAGAGUGGAAAGUUCACACUGUGACGGUAUCUUACCAGAAAGGGACGGCUAACUACGUG